GGGUUGUGAGGUUAAGCGACUAAGCGUACACGGUGGAUGCCCUGGCAGUCAGAGGCGAUGAAGGACGUGCUAAUCUGCGAUAAGCGUCGGUGAGGUGAUAUGAACCGUUAUAACCGGCGAUUUCCGAAUGGGGAAACCCAGUGUGAUUCGUCACACUAUCAUUAACUGAAUCCAUAGGUUAAUGAGGCGAACCGGGGGAACUGAAACAUCUAAGUACCCCGAGGAAAAGAAAUCAACCGAGAUUCCCCCAGUAGCGGCGAGCGAACGGGGAGCAGCCCAGAGCCUGAAUCAGUGUGUGUGUUAGUGGAAGCGUCUGGAAAGGCGCGCGAUACAGGGUGACAGCCCCGUACACAAAAAUGCACAUACUGUGAGCUCGAUGAGUAGGGCGGGACACGUGGUAUCCUGUCUGAAUAUGGGGGGACCAUCCUCCAAGGCUAAAUACUCCUGACUGACCGAUAGUGAACCAGUACCGUGAGGGAAAGGCGAAAAGAACCCCGGCGAGGGGAGUGAAAAAGAACCUGAAACCGUGUACGUACAAGCAGUGGGAGCCUCUUAAUGGGGUGACUGCGUACCUUUUGUAUAAUGGGUCAGCGACUUAUAUUCUGUAGCAAGGUUAACCGAAUAGGGGAGCCGAAGGGAAACCGAGUCUUAACUGGGCGUUAAGUUGCAGGGUAUAGACCCGAAACCCGGUGAUCUAGCCAUGGGCAGGUUGAAGGUUGGGUAACACUAACUGGAGGACCGAACCGACUAAUGUUGAAAAAUUAGCGGAUGACUUGUGGCUGGGGGUGAAAGGCCAAUCAAACCGGGAGAUAGCUGGUUCUCCCCGAAAGCUAUUUAGGUAGCGCCUCGUGAAUUCAUCUCCGGGGGUAGAGCACUGUUUCGGCAAGGGGGUCAUCCCGACUUACCAACCCGAUGCAAACUGCGAAUACCGGAGAAUGUUAUCACGGGAGACACACGGCGGGUGCUAACGUCCGUCGUGAAGAGGGAAACAACCCAGACCGCCAGCUAAGGUCCCAAAGUCAUGGUUAAGUGGGAAACGAUGUGGGAAGGCCCAGACAGCCAGGAUGUUGGCUUAGAAGCAGCCAUCAUUUAAAGAAAGCGUAAUAGCUCACUGGUCGAGUCGGCCUGCGCGGAAGAUGUAACGGGGCUAAACCAUGCACCGAAGCUGCGGCAGCGACACUAUGUGUUGUUGGGUAGGGGAGCGUUCUGUAAGCCUGUGAAGGUGUACUGUGAGGUAUGCUGGAGGUAUCAGAAGUGCGAAUGCUGACAUAAGUAACGAUAAAGCGGGUGAAAAGCCCGCUCGCCGGAAGACCAAGGGUUCCUGUCCAACGUUAAUCGGGGCAGGGUGAGUCGACCCCUAAGGCGAGGCCGAAAGGCGUAGUCGAUGGGAAACAGGUUAAUAUUCCUGUACUUGGUGUUACUGCGAAGGGGGGACGGAGAAGGCUAUGUUGGCCGGGCGACGGUUGUCCCGGUUUAAGCGUGUAGGCUGGUUUUCCAGGCAAAUCCGGAAAAUCAAGGCUGAGGCGUGAUGACGAGGCACUACGGUGCUGAAGCAACAAAUGCCCUGCUUCCAGGAAAAGCCUCUAAGCAUCAGGUAACAUCAAAUCGUACCCCAAACCGACACAGGUGGUCAGGUAGAGAAUACCAAGGCGCUUGAGAGAACUCGGGUGAAGGAACUAGGCAAAAUGGUGCCGUAACUUCGGGAGAAGGCACGCUGAUAUGUAGGUGAAGUCCCUUGCGGAUGGAGCUGAAAUCAGUCGAAGAUACCAGCUGGCUGCAACUGUUUAUUAAAAACACAGCACUGUGCAAACACGAAAGUGGACGUAUACGGUGUGACGCCUGCCCGGUGCCGGAAGGUUAAUUGAUGGGGUUAGCGGUAACGCGAAGCUCUUGAUCGAAGCCCCGGUAAACGGCGGCCGUAACUAUAACGGUCCUAAGGUAGCGAAAUUCCUUGUCGGGUAAGUUCCGACCUGCACGAAUGGCGUAAUGAUGGCCAGGCUGUCUCCACCCGAGACUCAGUGAAAUUGAACUCGCUGUGAAGAUGCAGUGUACCCGCGGCAAGACGGAAAGACCCCGUGAACCUUUACUAUAGCUUGACACUGAACAUUGAGCCUUGAUGUGUAGGAUAGGUGGGAGGCUUUGAAGUGUGGACGCCAGUCUGCAUGGAGCCGGCCUUGAAAUACCACCCUUUAAUGUUUGAUGUUCUAACGUUGGCCCCUUACCGGGGUUGCGGACAGUGUCUGGUGGGUAGUUUGACUGGGGCGGUCUCCUCCUAAAGAGUAACGGAGGAGCACGAAGGUUGGCUAAUCCUGGUCGGACAUCAGGAGGUUAGUGCAAUGGCAUAAGCCAGCUUGACUGCGAGCGUGACGGCGCGAGCAGGUGCGAAAGCAGGUCAUAGUGAUCCGGUGGUUCUGAAUGGAAGGGCCAUCGCUCAACGGAUAAAAGGUACUCCGGGGAUAACAGGCUGAUACCGCCCAAGAGUUCAUAUCGACGGCGGUGUUUGGCACCUCGAUGUCGGCUCAUCACAUCCUGGGGCUGAAGUAGGUCCCAAGGGUAUGGCUGUUCGCCAUUUAAAGUGGUACGCGAGCUGGGUUUAGAACGUCGUGAGACAGUUCGGUCCCUAUCUGCCGUGGGCGCUGGAGAACUGAGGGGGGCUGCUCCUAGUACGAGAGGACCGGAGUGGACGCAUCACUGGUGUUCGGGUUGUCAUGCCAAUGGCACUGCCCGGUAGCUAAAUGCGGAAGAGAUAAGUGCUGAAAGCAUCUAAGCACGAAACUUGCCCCGAGAUGAGUUCUCCCUGACCCUUUAAGGGUCCUGAAGGAACGUUGAAGACGACGACGUUGAUAGGCCGGGUGUGUAAGCGCAGCGAUGCGUUGAGCUAACCGGUACUAAUGAACCGUGAGGCUUAACCUUACAACGCCGAAGGUGUUU
rnacentral:rRNA from 1 species